rnacentral:rRNA from 1 species
GUAGGUGGCAAGCGUUGUCCGGAAUUAUUGGGCGUAAAGCGCGCGCAGGCGGUCCUUUAAGUCUGAUGUGAAAGCCCACGGGCUCAACCGUGGAGGGUCAUUGGAAACUGGAGAACUUGAGUACAGAAGAGGGAAGCGGAAUUCCACGUGUAGCGGUGAAAUGCGUAGAGAUGUGGAGGAACACCAGUGGCGAAGGCGGCUUUCUGGUCUGUAACUGACGCUGAGGCGCGAAAGCGUGGGGAGCAAACAGGAUUAGAUACCCUGGUAGUCCACGCCGUAAACGAUGAGUGCUAAGUGUUAGGGGGUUUCCGCCCCUUAGUGCUGCAGCUAACGCAUUAAGCACUCCGCCUGGGGAGUACGGCCGCAAGGCUG